rnacentral:rRNA from 1 species
AGUGAACGCUGGCGGUAGGCCUAACACAUGCAAGUCGAACGGCAGCACAGUAAGAGCUUGCUCUUACGGGUGGCGAGUGGCGGACGGGUGAGGAAUACAUCGUAAUCUACUUUUUCGUGGGGGAUCACGUAGGGAAACUUACGCUAAUACCGCAUACGACCUACGGGUGAAAGCAGGGGAUCUUCGGACCUUGCGCGAUUGAAUGAGCCGAUGUCGGAUUAGCUAGUUGGCGGGGUAAAGGCCCACCAAGGCGACGAUCCGUAGCUGGUCUGAGAGGAUGAUCGGCCACAGUGGAACUGGGACACGGUCCAGACUCCUACGGGAGGCAGCAGUGGCGAAUGUUGGACAAUGGGCGCGAGCCUGGUCCAGCCAUACCGCGUGGGUGAAGAAGGCCUUCGGGUUGGAAAGCCCUUUUGUUGGGAAAGAAAAGCAGCAGGUUAAUACCCCGCGGUUCUGACGGUACCCAAAGAAUAAGCACCGGCUAACUUCGUG